rnacentral:rRNA from 1 species
GACGAACGCUGGCGGCGUGCCUAAUACAUGCAAGUUGAGCGCUGAAGGUUGGUACUUGUACCCACUGGGUGAGCAGCGAACGGGUGAGUAACGCGUGGGGAAUCUGCUUUUGAGCGGGGGACAACAUUUGGAAACGAAUGCUAAUACCGCAUCAAACCUUUAAACACAAGUUUCAAGUGUGAAAGAUGCAUUUCCCUAAUGCAAAAGUGAUCCCGCGUUUUAUUAGUUGGUUGGGGAGGGAAAGGCCCACCAAGGCGUAGAUACAUGGGCGACCUGGGGGGGAGAUCGGCCAACAUGGGAAUGGGACACGGCCCAAAAUCCUUCGGGAGGCAGCAGGAGGGAAUCUUCGGAAAUGGACGAAAGUCUGACCGAGGAACGCCGCGGGAGUGAAGAAGGGUCUCGGGUCGUAAAACUCUGUUGGUAGAGAAGAACGUUGGUGAGAGUGGAAAGCUCAUCAAGUGACGGUAACUACCCAGAAAGGGACGGCUAACUACGUG